GGCCUGGUGGUGUAGUGGUUACAUGUCCUCGAGUUAUUAAUAUGAUGAAGACAGACUUUAUGAGGAAGUCCCCUGUUCAAAUCAGGGCCAGGCCU